AGGUAGUGGGGUUCUUGUGAUGGGUGGAGGUAGUGGGGUUCUUGUGAUGGGUGGAGAUAGUGGGGUUCUUGUGAUGGGUGGAGGUAGUGGGGUUCUUGUGAUGGGUUGAGGUAGGGGGGUUCUUGUGAUGGGUGGAGAUGGUGAGGUUAUUGUUAUAUGCAGAGAUGUGGAGGAAAUUGUGAUGGCUGGAGACUUUGGGGUUAUUGGGAUGGUGGAGGAUGGCUGGGUUAUUGGAAAACGCUGCAGAGAUUUCUCAUAUGUGCUCCUCUGUCGGGCCCACCUUACAGCCCUGUGACGGCUCCUCCACCGUCCUGCACUACGUGGGACUCUGUGGCCCCCAGGGAGGGGGGCCCACCCAGCUCACUCAAGGCACCUCAAGGUGUCACAGUAGGGAGCCAUCUUUGGUUUUAGAUUUAUUUUUUAUUUACUCAUAUAAAGACGUUUGCCUUUCAUGAGAGAGAUCUAGUCAUGGUUUCCCGGCGUGGUAAUGGAUCCAUCAAUUUGUCAUAACUCAUCAUGUCUAUUUCCAAGCCUGAUAUGGUGGUGCCAUAAAUAACCUUGCAGCGCUGUGGGAAACACUACAUCUUUAUCUUUAGUGUGGUGUUUUGGGUCACUGGGAAGAGGCCCUGUGCUUCUCUGAACGGAGACAGAGCUGCUGCCUUGGGAAGGAGGGUGGACGUUGAC
ensembl:lncRNA